rnacentral:SRP_RNA from 1 species
AUUCCCUCGUCUGCAUUUCUUCAUGAUCGGUUUCGCUCCUCUG